AUUUAGAUGUACAGACUCCCAACAGA
rnacentral:piRNA from 1 species